CAUCACACCAGCUAUCUCCUGCUCCCUGUCCUGCACUGCAAAGGAGGCCUUUUCAUCCUCUCUACUGCCUCCAAUUUUUCUCACGAGGAAUGUGAGAGGAAAACCUGUAUCUGCACAGCUUCACAGAAGAUUAUCUGGAUCUGGAGAAGAGGUGGGUGUCUCUGGGAAAGAAGCAGAGAGACGGAAUCUGGCCCAGACUGGCAUGCAUUGGCGUGAUCUUG
rnacentral:lncRNA from 1 species